GAAAGACAGUGAGUUCAUGGAAAUGAGAAAGAACUCGAUGUUGUGGUCUACGGGUGAGCGGCGCGCAGUGGUAAUAAGUGGGGAUGGAGAUCCGGGUAUGUCGGCCGGAUGUAUAGGCGGUAGAAUGCACAGGACUCAGUAACAGACGAACAUGGGGAGUGAGGGAGAAGGAGGAGUUUUUAGUUAGUAUGAAUGGGAAGGCGAGGGUAACAUUUACAGUGACGAGUAACCACGCGGAAAGAGCAGGUCAGCUGCGGACAGUGGAGGUGGGGGCGCGGGCACCUCGCGCACCUUGUCCCUCGCGCGCCGCCGUCCGCGCUGCCCGCGCCGCCCGCGGUUGAGUCGGGAGAGGCUGCCAGCGCUGCGGUUCCGGUUCCGGUUCCAGUUGGCGUCUGCCCCUGCGGCCACCGUGAGCAGUCAUGGCGUACUCCACAGUGCAGAGAGUCGCUCUGGCUUCUGGGCUCGUCCUGGCUCUGUCGCUACUGCUGCCCAAGGCCUUCCUGUCCCGCGGGAAGCGGCAGGAGCCGCCACCUACACCUGAAGGAAAGUUGGGCCGAUUUCCACCUAUGAUGCAUCAUCACCAGGCACCCUCAGAUGGCCAGACUCCUGGGGCUCAUUUCCAGAGGUCUCACCUUGCAGAGGCAUUUGCAAAGGCCAAAGGAUCAGUUGGAGGCGCUGGAGGAGGAGGUAGUGGAAGAGGCCUGAUGGGGCAGAUUAUUCCAAUCUAUGGCUUUGGGAUUUUUUUAUAUAUACUGUACAUUCUAUUUAAGCUCUCAAAGGGGAAAACAACUGCAGAGGAUGGGAAAUGUUCCACUGCCACACCUGGAAACACCCACAGGAAAAUUACCAGUUUUGAGCUUGCUCAACUGCAAGAAAAACUGAAGGAAACAGAAGCAGCCAUGGAAAAAUUAAUCAACAGAGUGGGACCUAAUGGUGAGAGCAGACCGCAGACUGUGACUUCUGACCAAGAGAAACGGUUGCUGCAUCAGCUCCGAGAAAUCACCAGGGUCAUGAAAGAAGGAAAAUUCGUUGACAGAUUUUCUCCAGAGAAAGAAGCCGAAGAGGCUCCUUACAUGGAGGACUGGGAAGGUUACCCUGAAGAGACUUACCCAAUUUAUGACCUUUCAGACUGUAUCAAGCGUAGGCAAAAAACAAUCUUGGUGGAUUACCCUGACCCAAAAGAGCUUUCUGCUGAAGAAAUAGCUGAAAGAAUGGGAGCGAUAGAAGAGGAAGAAUCAGACCAUUUAGGUUGGGAAGGUCUGCCCACUGACCCCAGAGCCCAGGAAGAUAAUUCUGUUACAUCUUGCGAUCCAAAGCCAGAAACAUGUUCCUGCUGUUUUCAUGAAGAUGAGGAUCCUGCUGUCUUGGCAGAGAAUGCUGGAUUCAAUGCAGAUAGCUACGCUGAGCAAGAGGAAACCACCAAAGAAGAAUGGCCCCAAGACUUUAGAGAUGAAGGGCUGGGCAUCAAUACCGAUCAAGCAUAUACAGGCAGCAUGCUGAGGCGGCGUAACCACCAGGGUUUAGAGUGAAAACUGCCAGUUUGAAGUAUCCAUUACUCAAGUCCCAAGAUGACCUUUCUCUCCUCAGAUUUCCUUCUUGGCCCUGUGCCCUGUACUGUCUUCACUGUGUUCAAGUGUCAUAGCUAUCAGGCCACUAUCAUGGAUAUCAUGUAUCCUUCCUGGUGCUCACACACCUGUCACCUUGUAAAACAUAGAUAUUAGUGUGAACACAGGACAGGUUCGCUGUUUCUCUUCCUGCCUUUCCCUAUCAGAGAAGUUGAUCCAUUAAGUAAUUAUGUUUGGUCUGUCGUAAUUACAGAUGGGACCACUCAGGGGCAAAGGUCUGACUCUUCCUGGUAGGUGUAACAGAUAGCUUGCCUGUGAAUGAACAUCAGCUUACAGAUGAUGAGGACUUAAGGUUGCAAGAAUGAAGAUUUCAGACUCCAGGAUGCCUUAUCUUUGGGCCUUGAGCAGAAUAUCCUGUAUACGCUAUUUCCCGCCAGAGGCAGAGGCCACAGGAGAUAGGCCAUGGUUCAGGUAGGAAACACUCUUGGUCACAUAAGAACUCUAGAUCUGGGGGGCAAACAAACUCUUAUUUAUUACCACACUCUCAAAGUUCCCUUCAGUCUGGACUAUUUAUAUUCCAAGGAAAAAUUCAGUACUUCAUCUAUUCAGCAAUACUCAGAAAAAAACAUGAACACAUCUAUGACUUUGCCUUGACCACUGACUUUUCUAAAAUGUGCUUCCUUUUCUUUCCCUUUUUUUUCACACAAAGAAAACAAGGCAAAUUUCUCUUAGGUCAUUCCUUUUCAGAGAACUAGUUUCUCCAUGAAUUGGGAAUGAUGCUGUCUUUCCAGCGCUGUAUGGAUUAAAUAAGAUGCUUUUUAUAAAGUGUCUGUGCCAGGGUGAAGCAUGUGGUAGGUGCUUGGUGACUGCAAGUCCUGUGUUGCUGAGAUGUCACACUUGACAGGCUCUAAGGCUACCUGGACUGCCAGGAAUGGCCCAGGGCCAUUCUGUAGUCUCUGGGUGCCUUUAGUGGUAACUUCCUUUCUGGGUCAGACCAUUCAUUAGCUUUCAUGUCUGCCUCUACCUACCACUGUAGCCUCCCUUCCUUUUGGCUUCAAAUCUGCCACAGCUGCCCCACAACAAAAAAGAUUCCUAAGCAUGUCUAAGUCCUGUUUAAGUGGGUUAGGCUCCAAGCAGGCCCACAGAGUACUUAAGUUAGAGCAGUUCUCUUCAGGGUCUCCUGUGCCACCUGAAGGAGUGGGCCUGGUUGGAUCAUUUAUACAUUUUUAAUCUCUGCAGAUAGCCCUGUUCUGUUCGUAAGGCCAGGCCUACUCCUUCAGGUGGCACAGCAGACGCUGAAGAGAACUGCUCUAACUUAAGUACUUUGUGCCUUCAUCAUUUUUCUACCCUCUGGGUGUGGUUCUGACAAACCUUAAACUUGAAAGGCACAGCCAGAGAGAGGUCAGUGUUGACCCACAUGUCAUUGGUGAGGUUAUGACCUCUUUGCUAUUACCACCCAUCUACCCGCCUGAGGCUCCUAAGAAACACUGAAUGAAGGGCAGAGAAAAAAACUUUUAGGAACAGAAGUGUUGAAACAGUUCAAGUUUAAUGUGUUGAUAUAUAUCUGUACUUAGACAAACACUAAAUUCUACAACAUAUAUAAUGUCAACAUGGGAAAAUACCAAGUUUGUCAUUGCACAUACCAAUAAAUAAAUACAUUUCCUCCAGAAUACCAAAGAAGUUUAUUCAAAAAUUCACUUAAUAAAAGCACAGAUUUGUCUAAAACUCCAGAUAAUCUUGAACAAAAAUAAAAUGUCUGACCACUCCAAAAUAGGAAAAGACAAUCUUGUGCAAAUAGACAUACACAUUCUAGGCAUUGUGAAAACUGGCUGUGUGUUCCCAGCAAGAAACUUCACCCCUCCUGACCAGCAGUCAGGCUUCCCUUUCCUAGUCAUUCUACGUUGCCUUCUAGGAAACUCUGGAUCUCAGCCUAUUCUCCAGCUUUGCCUGGACCUUGCCAGGGGGAGUGAGGGACAGGAGCACAGAGAAGGAGAGGGAUGUGAUGUCUUUCUUAGGAAGGAAAAAAGGCACAGUGAUGAGCUAUAAAAGUAGUGAUGAAAGCAAAGAGUAACUUUCAUUCACUCCAAAUCCUACUGCAAGCUUUGACAAUGUAACGUCUUCAUCUUGUUAAGAAAAUGGACCUAGAAAGAUUACGGGGUUUGCUCAAAAUCACAUAGCUACUAAGUGCAGUAGUGCAUUCUCCAAGACCAACUUGCCUUUUCACUUGGUUGGAAAAUUUAAAAACCAAACCUGUCAUAAUAUGUCUGUUCUGCCCUUCUCCCCUGUGUCCUGAGAUGACAGAAAAUUCCAGGUGGCCAUAAACUCAAACAAGAGCCCAGCUCUUGGCCUAUUACUGGUGGCUACUACAAGCCUACAGACCAGAGCUCCAGGUAGUGUAGUGUCCCAACUCUGGGCCCUAACUACGGUCAUUCAGGUCCCAGUUUCAGUGAAAGCAGACUCAUUCAGCUAUGUGGAGAAGUGUAUUCAGGACCACUUGGCAACCUGAGUUGACACAGGGAUGCUGCAGCUGGCAUAAGGAGUUAGUUAGAAAAGGGAAGGCCAGUGUUACUGCAGUAGGAGAAAACCAGGAAGUCCAUCUAGGAGAUGGAAUUUGUGCUUGCAUAACAGAGCCAUGGAAAUGGCUAUCCCAGCAUCUCCCCUCACUGCAGACUCAAUUGUAAGCAAAGCAUGGACCUUUUUCUUUGAAAUCAACCCUGCCACUUGUAAAAUUAGAACUACCUCUAAAUGCUAAGUUUAUUUAAGAGGUAAAUGUCCUGCUAUUUUCAGAAUGAGG